rnacentral:misc_RNA from 1 species
GAUGAAGAACGUAGCGAAAUGCGAUAAGUAGUGUGAAUUGCAGAAUUCAGUGAAUCAUCGAAUCUUUGAACGCACAUUGCGCCCCUUGGUAUUCCAUGGGGCAUGCCUGUUCGAGCGUCAUUUGUACCUUCAAGCUCUGCUUGGUGUUGGGUGUUUGUCUCGCCUCUGCGUGUAGACUCGCCUCAAAACAAUUGGCAGCCGGCGUAUUGAUUUCGGAGCGCAGUACAUCUCGCGCUUUGCACUCAUAACGACGACGUCCAAAAGUACAUUUUUACACUCUUGACCUCGGAUCAGGUAGGGAUACCCGCUGAACUUAAGCAUAUCAAUAAGCGGAGGGA